rnacentral:lncRNA from 1 species
UGGAACUUUGUCCACAGGGGGAGGCUGAAGGACUGCUGUUCAUCUGAAGGAGAUCAAGGCUGAGGGAGAGUAGGGGAGAGAGAGAGAGACAGAGAGGGGGCUGGUACCAGGAUGCCUCACUGGUAGCAAGUCCAUAGCUGGUGGCAAGCCCACAAGCCCACAUGGUGCCUCCUGGAAGGGCAUUAAGUUCAUGAGUGCAGAUGGCAAGAUUUUAAGUAGAAACCAACAAAGAAGAUUGGGAAAGAACAGCCAGUGAAGGCGGAAGACCAGGAAAGAAUAAUAAUACAGAAAAAAAUACUUCAAGAAUGAAACCAUGAUCAAGUAAGAUAAAAUGUAAGAAUCCUUAUGUUUGUGCUGUGUGGGAGGAGGAGGAGUCAAGGUGGGUAAGACAUUGAAGAUCUUGA